UACGUAGGUGGCAAGCGUUGUCCGGAUUUACUGGGCGUAAAGAGCGCGCAGGCGGUCGUUCAAGUCGCGUGUGAAAGCCCCCGGCUUAACUGGGGAGGGUCAUUCGAUACUGUUCGACUUGAAGGCAGGAGAGGGCAGCAGAAUUCCCGGUGUAGUGGUGAAAUGCGUAGAUAUCGGGAGGAAUACCAGUGGCGAAGGCGGCUGCCUGGCCUGUUCUUGACGCUGAGGCGCGAAAGCUGGGGGAGCAAACGGG
rnacentral:rRNA from 1 species